UACGUAGGGUGCGAGCGUUAAUCGGAAUUACUGGGCGUAAAGCGUGCGCAGGCGGUUAUGUAAGACAGAUGUGAAAAUCCCAGGGCUCAACCUUGGAACUGCAUUUGUGACUGCAUAGCUAGAGUACGGUAGAGGGGGGAUGGAAUUCCGCGUGUAGCAGUGAAAUGCGUAGAUAUGCGGAGGAACACCGAUGGCGAAGGCAAUCCCCUGGACCUGUACUGACGCUCAUGCACGAAAGCGUGGGGAGCAAACAGG
rnacentral:rRNA from 1 species